AUUUACAACACAAUGCUGGGUUACAUAGCUACCUGUGACAAAUUCCUGCGAUACAACAAAAGGGAGGUCUCCAGCCAGCCAAUUCCCAGGGCAUGCAGAAAUAGGAAACCUACUACUGACGCAUGCCUACAGCAUUCAGAAGAGGAAUCUAUUGUUUCCCUGCUUACAUACUAAGUGAGUGCUGAGAGCAGGAAGUGGGCUCUGAGAUGCCUCUGCUAACUUCUGUACCUGUGCCUGGCACCAUCACCAGCUGGUUGGUAACUUCUGCCAGAGUGUGACGUCUCUUCCCACAGCGAGUUGCUUGGAGGGCUGCAAAUGCCUGUGCAGGGUCAUCUUCUGACUCGCCUUCUGUCUCUAUUCCUUCAUCGAUAGAAGUCUCCAUCAUGCUGGUAGGCAGUGACUGGCAUCCUUUCCUAAUCACCACAGGAGGUACAGGAUCGAGCAGGCAGCCAUUUACCUAAAUGCCACAAGGAGAAGACAGACAGCUUUCAGUUACUGGCACACAGCACUUCCCUGCAGUGUAAGAAACCUCUGCCUGUUGUACAGACUGAAGGCAACCUGGACUCUUCAAAUGUGUGAACAUCCCAAUAAUCUACUGAGAUCAGACAAGAAUGAACCUGGGAGAUGGUUACAGAUGAUUUUAUGUAAAAAUAUUGAUGAACUGUUCCUGAAUUUUCUCCAAAGUUCUCUGGUAUUUUGAAAACAAGUGUAUUUGGAAGAUGACUUCACUGCACGAACAGUAGCUGUUUAACAAAUGGUCCUACAAGCAGACUAUAUGGCACUGCUCUAAGAAAACAUUUAGAGCAGCAUCGAGAAAUAGCUGUAAAUAUUUGCUGCUUCAAGUAUAAUGACGAUGCUUGCACAGAAAAAUUCUGGAUCUGGUGCCUCUCUUUUAAAUUGAUGAAUCAUAUCUUUAAGCCUAGGUUCCUGCGCACUUUCCUUCCUAUUUGUGACUUUCUCAUUCAAAUGCAUUCCACUGAUGUGGCAGCAAAAGCACUAGAAAGAAUAUUUAGUGAACUACUGGAAAGGAAAAAAGAGAGCCAGUAUCACAUGGGCAGGCAGCUCUCUACAGUUUAUCAUGGCACAUGGAACAAAGCUUGGAAGUCUUUCGCAGACACCUUCCAUAAUACUUAGCCACUGAAAUAUUCCCAAGGCAAUUGUGAUUUGAUGCCUCACAGUAGUCACCAUUUGUUGAUUUACUCACUCAAACUGCACCUAGAAAAGGAAAAAACUGGAAGGGGAGUGUGUGUAUGCAAAAUAAAGUUUGUAAUGUUAAGUUCCAAAUUUCUCCUAACUGCUUUUUGCUUUCCAGUUGUAAGGGACCACACAAGGAUUUACUUAAAACAAUGAUGAGAGAUGGGGCCACACUCUUAGCGUCAGUAACUAACCAAUAAAUGAGGUAUAAAACCUU